rnacentral:rRNA from 1 species
CCUACGGGAGGCAGCAGUGGGGAAUAUUGCACAAUGGGGGAAACCCUGAUGCAGCAACGCCGCGUGGGUGAAGGAGCGUUUCGGCGCGUAAAGCCCUGUCAGCGGGGAAGAAGAAAGACGGUACCCGACCAAGAAGCCCCGGCUAACUACGUGCCAGCAGCCGCGGUAAUACGUAGGGGGCGAGCGUUAUCCGGAAUUACUGGGUGUAAAGGGUGCGUAGGUGGCAGGGCAAGUCAGAUGUGAAAGCCCGGGGCCCAACCCCGGUACUGCAUUUGAAACUGUCCGGCUGGAGUGCAGGAGAGGUAAGCGGAAUUCCUAGUGUAGCGGUGAAAUGCGUAGAUAUUAGGAGGAACACCAGUGGCGAAGGCGGCUUACUGGACUGUAACUGACACUGAGGCACGAAAGCGUGGGGAGCAAACAGGAUUAGAUACCCGGGUAGUC